AGAGCUAAGCUUAAAGGGCCAAGGGGCCUGCACUUUCUGUCAGUGCUCCACUGUUCCUGCAAAUCCAAACGCCAUGAAUCCUUGUUCAAAUCAACCCUCUUUCCCUUCCCAAAACCCUAACCCUAAUUUCCCAAUUCCCUCCCUCCCACAAAACACUAACCCUAAUUGCCCUUGCUCUCUCUCCACAACUCUAUCGUCUCUCACCUCCCUCCUCUCUCUCUCCCGCCAAACCCUAAAUUCCCAUUCUACCCUCACCGAAUCCCUAAAUUCCAACCUUGUCUCUUGUCCUUUCAACCCCAAUCAUCUCCUCCCCCCAGAAUCCCUCUUCUCCCAUUCCCUCCACUGCCCUUCCACUCAAAGUCUCAAUCUUGACCUCCCAAAUUACCGAAAUACCCUCAAAACCCCUUCAAAUUUACAUUCCCAGGACACCCUUUUCGAGGAUAAACAAUGCUCUGAACUUUGCCUUUCUUUAGAUGAUUACUUUUCUGAUUUUGGGUCUAAUUUCUUUUACAAGGAUUGUCCUGGUGUUGUUAAUUUGCUUGAUGUUGAUAACUACAAAAAAACGUUUACUUUACCGGGUUUUUUAUCCGUUGAAUGCGUUAAUUUUGAGGGCUUUAAGGAGGGAGAGAGUAAGGCUAGUGAAAAGAAGGGUUUAGGGGUUUUAGCUUCGGGCUUAUGGGAAACUAGGAGGGAAGUUGAGAGGUGGGUUGAUUACCCUGCGUCGUAUUCGUUUAAUGUUGUUUGCGGGAUUUUGGGGUGGAAAAUGGUGAAAAGAAGUGAUUUCAGGAAAUGGGUGGUUUCUAAUUCGCCGUGGUAUGGUAUUGUGAUUGAUGAGUAUAUGGGAGAUCAUAUAGUUUUGCUGGUUAGGUUGUGUUUGAAAGCUGUUGUGAGGGAAGCGAUUGGCUUGGUGGAAGUAGGGAUGGAAUAUGGAGAAGCUGAGGAGAAAGGUUCGGAUGUGAAUUUGGAGAUGAGAAUGUUUGAAUGUCCUGUUUUGCUUCAAGUUUUAAUAUGGUUAGGUUCUCAGCUUUCUGUUUUGUAUGGUGAAGUUAAUGGGAAGUUCUUUGUGAUUAAUAUGAUCAAACAAUGUAUAUUAGAGGGUGCGUCACGGUUGUUGUUGUUUCCAUCUGAAGAAAAGGUGACUGUUUCACUCAAGUUGGGACAAGAAUCACAGAGUUUGGAUGCUAAUGGUGUUAAGGAAAUUAAACAUGAGGAGCCAAUUGAGCAAAGUAAUGAACCAGUUGAAACUGUCGAUGAAACUAUUGGUGUUGGGGUGAUAUUUGUAUCCCAGGUGGCGGCAGCAGUUGCGGCAUUGCAUGAACGGUGUUUCCUUGAAGAAAAAAUAAAGCGUUUACGGUUUUCCCAACCACUUUCAAGAUAUGAGCGGAUGCUUGAGCAUGCUUAUGUUUCAGAGAGAGCUGAUGCAGAGAGGAAGAAACUUCCUAACUAUAGACCUAUAAUUGACCAUGAUGGGCUUCCUCGGCAGGCAUCAUCUAAUGAGGGCACAAGUAGGACUAAAACAAGAGAGGAGAUAUUGGCUGAAGAAAGAGACUACAAAAGACGAAGAAUGUCAUAUCGUGGGAAGAAAUUGAAGCGGACAACAUUACAGGUUAUGAGGGAUAUUAUAGAGGAAUACACUGAGGAAAUAAAAAAAGCUGGGGGCAUUGGUUGCUUUGUCAAAGGAACAGAAGAGGAAGGGUUCCUACUAUCUGAUUCACCAGUUACUUAUGACCAUGCUGUGGAUGCUGAUGAGCAUAGAAAAGGUACUAGCAACAUUUCUGAAUCAGCCAGAGGUAGCCCAAACCAUCAAAAGAGAAGAUCACACUAUGACCAGCAUACUAGAUCUACAAAUUUUGAGGAUUCCUCACAAAAUGAUUUUGAGCAGUCGAGAUGGUUUGAACACCAUGAUCUUGAAGAUGCAAGGAGAAGCAUUAAUAAAGAGAAACACAGAGAAGAGUAUCAUUCUGGAAUCUCAAAAAGACACAGAAGUCAUGGGCUGUCAGAUGACAGAAGAAGUCGUAGAAGAGAACGAGAUGAUGCUGAAUCCACUAGAGCCAUGCGCUAUGAGAGUGGAAGACGAUCUAACAUUUCUAAAUAUAAGGAUCACAAAUCAUCUUAUUCUGUUUCUAAUUCUUCAGAUGACUUUCGUUUAAGAAGGGAUGACCAGAAGUUGGACAUUAGAGACAGAAAUCGGAGGAGCUCUUAUGAGAAUCAGACGUCAGGCUCCAGGGCACAAAAUGGAUUUGAUGAUAGAUAUAAUCCUUCAGAAUCUGAUGACAUGUUUGAAGAUGAUGUUGGGAAGUAUGUCAGACCAGAAUGACAUCAUGGAUGUGCCAGUAGAUAUUCUGCAAAUGAACUAUAUCCUUAUUAAUGUGGAAAACCACAAGUAGGUUCCAUUUUUUUGGGGUUAAUGAAACUUAAUAUAUUCUAUAUUCUUGUCAAAUUUGCUUUUUGUACUUUCAGGAUGUUGCAGAUGGCAAGGGAUGACUUUUGUCAACAAGUUUGAUCAGCCCCAUAAUGCAGGUUUAGCUAGGGAAAAGGGUAUGGAAUUUGAUAGGGAAAUUGAAUAGAGUUACAACCCUUUUUCCCUCAAACAGAUGAAAAACUAUCUGUAUCAUUAUUUGGAUUAAAUUUUUAAAAAAAUUAAUUAUAAAACGUAUCUUUCGAUGCAGUGAUAUCUUUCGAUGUGGUAGGAAUUUUUUAGUCCAGCUUUCAAAUGAAUCCUUUAAAAACAAACUUAGAUUGGAAGGAAGAAGGAAUGCCAACCAAUGUAAAAGUUGAUGAUUAUAGUAGAAAGAAUUGAUCAUCUUUAAAAUGCAACAAGAUAUACAUAUAUCUCUACAUUUUUCUUCCAUUGUGGAUACUAUGGGUUGGUGUCAUUAUCAACAAUUUCCAAACCAAAGACUCACAAUCUUUGACCAAAGUUGUCAAAUCAAUUUGAGCUUGCGUCAAAUCAUGAGGGCUAAAUUCCAGAAAUCUAACAACUCCAUUUAUUUUUUUUGUGUUUGAGCUCAAUGAAUGAUGCAAGAUCAAAUUU